UAAAAUUUGUUUGACUGAUGCAGGACUGUAAGUUUACCUCUUUGGUGCAUAUUGAGUUUUGAGCUAUUAAUAUCCCCUGAUGAAAGCCUAUGUUUGGCUGAAACGCGUUGGGCAGCUUACUAAGGAUUUACAAUAAAUAAUAUAUAUUUUUACAAA